rnacentral:rRNA from 1 species
AUGAAGAAACUAAGGCUUGAACUUUAUGGUAACAAGGUCGAUUCCUUUUAUGUUGAUAGGUGGAUUCAUAUUGCUGUUACAGCAGGAGUUGAAGAACUCGCCAUUAUUAUGCCGCAUAUUCCUGGGAAAGAAGAAUACAAUUUCCCAUGCUCACUUUUAUUUAAUGGGGGUGAAAACUCAAUUCGGUAUCUUUACAUUGCCAUGUGUGCCUUUCGUCCCACGGCUGGGCUUGGUUGCUGGACAAAAUUGACAAGGUUAUUACUAAGUAAUGUAUGGAUUGCUGAUGAUGAGCUAGAGGGCCUUCUUUCCAACUGUACUGCAAUUCAACAUUUGGAACUCAAGAAUUGCAGUGAGAUAGUUUUCCUGAAGAUACCUUUGCUGGAGUGCCUUACGUUCCUGAGAGUGUCUCUAUGCAUAAAUCUGCAAGUUAUAGACAGCGAUGCUCCAAACCUCUCCACCUUUUGCCUGUUUGGUGGCUUAGUAUCAAUUCUAUUUGGAAGUGAUGUAAAGAAUAUAGAAGUGUCGUGCUUAAAAUUCGGCCCGCCCAACAUUGUCCGGUUUGCUCGAACGGAGCUUCUGUCCGGUGCGCCAGAUGUUGAAAGACUUGUCAUAACCUCGCCUAAUGAGAUGGAAAGUACACCAAUGCUAUCUAGCAAAUUCCUCCACCUCAAGUACUUGCAUAUUUCUCUAAUUGCAAAUGAAGCUAUUUCACCAGCUUAUGAUUACCUUUCUCUGGUUUCUUUUAUUGAAGCUUCUCCUUGCCUGGAGACUUUCAUCUUUGAGGUACAGCAGCCUGACAUGAAGCAUGAUUCUGUUAUCGGGGAUUCCUCGCCUCUGAGACGGCUACCACAACACAGCCACAACAACCUAAAGAGUGUGACGAUCAUCGGCUUCUGCUCGGCGAAGAGCUUGGUCGAGUUGGCAUGCCACAUUAUUGAGAACGCGACAUCGCUCGAGCACCUCACUUUGGACACCUCCCAUGGCUGUCGGAGUCCUGGUGGGCGUAGCCUCGAUAAACCUGACAGAUGGUACUAUACAGUGAGUGGUAGCCUCAUGGCGGCCCCACCUGACAGGUGCCUCCCUAUGUGGGGUCGUGGCAUCGAGGAGUCUCGCAGGGCGCGUUUCGCAAUCAGAAAACACAUUGAGUGGAAAGUUCCCUUCGGAGUCGUGUUUGAAAUCGUCGAGCCCUGCAGUCGGUGCUUGAUGCCGAACUUUUAG